rnacentral:rRNA from 1 species
GAUGAACGCUGGCGGCGUGCCUAAUACAUGCAAGUCGAGCGAACAGACGAGGAGCUUGCUCCUCUGACGUUAGCGGCGGACGGGUGAGUAACACGUGGAUAACCUACCUAUAAGACUGGGAUAACUUCGGGAAACCGGAGCUGAUACCGGAUAAUAUAUUGAACCGCAUGGUUCAAUAGUGAAAGACGGUUUUGCUGUCACUUAUAGAUGGAUCCGCGCCGCAUUAGCUAGUUGGUAAGGUAACGGCUUACCAAGGCAACGAUGCGUAGCCGACCUGAGAGGGUGAUCGGCCACACUGGAACUGAGACACGGUCCAGACUCCUACGGGAGGCAGCAGUAGGGAAUCUUCCGCAAUGGGCGAAAGCCUGACGGAGCAACGCCGCGUGAGUGAUGAAGGUCUUCGGAUCUUAAAACUCUGUUAUUAGGGAAGAACAAAUGUGUAAGUAACUAUGCACGUCUUGACGGUACCUAAUCAGAAAGCCACGGCUAACUACGUG